rnacentral:rRNA from 1 species
UGGAGAGUUUGAUCCUGGCUCAGGACGAACGCUGGCGGCGUGCUUAACACAUGCAAGUCGAACGAUGAACCGCUUUCGGGCGGGGAUUAGUGGCGAACGGGUGAGUAACACGUGGGCAAUCUGCCCUGCACUCUGGGACAAGCCCUGGAAACGGGGUCUAAUACCGGAUAUGACUGUCCAUCGCAUGGUGGAUGGUGUAAAGCUCCGGCGGUGCAGGAUGAGCCCGCGGCCUAUCAGCUUGUUGGUGAGGUAGUGGCUCACCAAGGCGACGACGGGUAGCCGGCCUGAGAGGGCGACCGGCCACACUGGGACUGAGACACGGCCCAGACUCCUACGGGAGGCAGCAGUGGGGAAUAUUGCACAAUGGGCGAAAGCCUGAUGCAGCGACGCCGCGUGAGGGAUGACGGCCUUCGGGUUGUAAACCUCUUUCAGCAGGGAAGAAGCGAAAGUGACGGUACCUGCAGAAGAAGCGCCGGCUAACUACGUGCCAGCAGCCGCGGUA